UGGGGAAUUUUGGACAAUGGGCGCAAGCCUGAUCCAGCAAUGCCGCGUGCAGGAAGAAGGCCUUCGGGUUGUAAACUGCUUUUGUCAGGGAGGAAAUCUUCUGGGUUAAUACCUCGGGAGGAUGACGGUACCUGAAGAAUAAGCACCGGCUAACUACGUGC
rnacentral:rRNA from 1 species